ensembl:Y_RNA Y_RNA Y RNA
GGUUGGUUCGAAGGUAAUGAGUUACCUCUCAAUUGACUGUUCACAGUCAGUUACAGAUCCAAUUCCUUGUUCUACUCUUUCCCCUCUUCUCGGUACUGUACUUGACUGGUCUUAA